UUUUCUGGUUCCUUUUGUCUGCAGGAAGAGGUGCUUUCUCUCUCUGAGGGACUGGGGGCAGGAGAGAGGGAUGUACGGAAGAGGGCAGGAGAGGGGGAUGUGGAGAUGAGUGCAGUCAGGCCAGCGGUGGUAGUGCACCCCAGGGAGCUGAAGGGCCUCCUUCACAUCUGCACUGUCAUCGCUCAAGGUACUGAGCUGCUGUCUGAGGGGCGGUGUUCAGAGGCCCUGACUGUUCUUCAGAGAGACCCCUCCCCCUUGGCCCCAAGAGACCUGCUGGCCCAGAUACACACCCUCAUACGCCUCUGCCUCAGUGGCAAGGUACACACUCACACACACCUCACAAGCAUCUCAGAUGCAUGGUGAGAGAGAGGGCGAUGACCAAUGGUGUGUGUGCGUGUGUUUAUGUGUAGGGUCAUCCCGUCAGUGCUGUGUUAUAGGAAGGCUUUGGAGACAGACAUGGGGUGUGUGUGUGCACUGCACCAGAGCCUCCUGGUUAACAGACAGCAGGGAAACACGCAAGCAGAGAUCCAGGCUCUACACCUGAUACACUCAGUGAGUAACACACAGACACACACACACACACACACACACAGAAUAAAGGCAUCUGUCUGAUGCUGCAGUUGACUGAGGUGUGAGGGAUCUUGUCUCUGUACCAGGCUCUGUACAUGCCACCUGCCACUCAGCCUGCUGUGGCCCCACCUCCUCUCGUCUGCCCCGCCUCUCUGCUCCCUGGCCAAUCCUUGUCCAGCCUGCUUUCAGUCCCCUCCCACCUCAGCAUACUACACAGUCUGACUCAAAAGUGUGUACUCCACGGAAGGCAAGUUCCCAGACAGCCGACGUUGAAUAUUUUUUUCUCUAUAAAG
rnacentral:lncRNA from 1 species